AACGUAGGUCCCGAGCGUUAUCCGGAUUUACUGGGCGUAAAGCGUGUUCAGGCGGUCUAGCAAGUCGGGCAUGAAAUCUCUCGGCUCAACCGGGAGGGGUUGUCCGAUACUGCUGGGCUUGAGGGCAGCAGAGGGUGGUGGAAUUCCGGGUGUAGUGGUGAAAUGCGUAGAUAUCCGGAGGAACACCAGUGGCGAAGGCGGCCACCUGGGCUGUACCUGACGCUCAAACACGGAAGCUAGGGGAGCGAACGGG
rnacentral:rRNA from 1 species